rnacentral:rRNA from 1 species
UACGUAGGCAGCGAGCGUUGUUCGGAAUUACUGGGCGUAAAGAGUGUGUAGGCGGUGCUCUAAGUUUGGUGUGAAAUCUCCCGGCUCAACCGGGAGGGUGCAUCGAAUACUGGAAUGCUAGAGGGUGGGAGAGGUAAGCGGAAUUCCUGGUGUAGCGGUGAAAUGCGUAGAUAUCAGGAGGAACACCUGUGGUGUAGACAGCUUACUGGACCACUUCUGACGCUGAGACACGAAAGCGUGGGUAGCAAACAGG